CCUACGGGCGGCUGCAGUGAGGAAUAUUGGUCAAUGGGCGGAAGCCUGAACCAGCCAAGUCGCGUGAGGGAAUAAGGCCCUACGGGUCGUAAACCUCUUUUGCCGGGGAGCAAGGGCGGGGACGUGUCCCGGCCCGGAGAGUACCCGGAGAAAAAGCAUCGGCUAACUCCGUGCCAGCAGCCGCGGUAAUACGUAGGGGGCGAGCGUUGUCCGGAAUCACUGGGCGUAAAGGGCGCGUAGGCGGUAAUAUAAGUCAGAUGUGAAAGGUGGGGGCUCAACCCCUAGAGUGCAACUGAUACUGUAUAACUUGAGUGUGAGAGAGGGAAGCGGAAUUCCUAGUGUAGCGGUGAAAUGCGUAGAUAUUAGGAGGAACACCAGUGGCGAAGGCGGCUUUCUGGCUCAUAACUGACGCUGAGGCGCGAAAGCGUGGGGAGCAAACAGGAUUAGAUACCCCAGUAGUC
rnacentral:rRNA from 1 species